GACUAAAUGAGAAGAAAUCUUCAGGGACAACUUCUACUGUUACUGAGUCUGCAGAGUCACCUGUGUGUGUCUUAUGGAAUAGUCUGCACUCAGAGACAGCUGAAUAAGUGCCCCAUUGAUGAGUGACCUGCUCCAGGCCCUGGAUCAAAGUGGUUCUUUUCCUCCCCACUGACUUGGAACUGGAAAUAGAGAAAAGAAGCAAUCAUACUUUCCUUUUAAUUGACCUGAGACUCCAAGGACGGAGACCCAGUGAAAUAAAAUUAUUUUGACGGCCAUUCCUCACGCUGUGGAGCUUCCUGCCUGGAGCCUUGGAGCCUUGGUGGUGCUAGUUCAGGCCUUGGAGUGAAAGCAUGAGUGAAUUCUGGUUGUGUUUCAACUGCUGUAUUGCAAAGCAGCCUCAGCCUAAAAGGCGGCGACGGAUUGACCGAAGUAUGAUUGGAGAGCCGACCAACUUUGUGCACACAGCUCAUGUAGGAUCCGGAGAUCUGUUCAGUGGGAUGAACUCAGUCAGCUCCAUUCAGAACCAAAUGCAGUCCA